AUGACGUCAAGUCCUCAUGGCCUUUAUGUCUAGGGCUACACACGUGCUACAAUGGGUGGUACAAAGAGCAGCUAACUCGCGAGAGUAUGCAAAUCUCAAAAAGCCAUCCUCAGUUCGGAUUGGAGUCUCGCAACUCGACUCCAUGAAGUUGGAAUCGCUAGUAAUCCGCGGAUCAAGACAUGCCGCGGUGAAUACGGUUCCCGGGCCUU
rnacentral:rRNA from 1 species